UCGGGAAUUUUGGGCAAUGGGCGAAAGCCUGACCCAGCAACGCCGCGUGAGGGAUGAAGGCCCUCGGGUCGUAAACCUCUGUCGGGAGGGAAGAACGGUUGCCGUUCGAACAGGACGGCAGCCUGACGGUACCUCCAAAGGAAGCACCGGCUAACUCCGUGCCAGCAGCCGCGGUAAUACGGAGGGUGCGAGCGUUGUUCGGAAUCAUUGGGCGUAAAGCGCGUGUAGGCGGCUUGGUAAGUCGGGUGUGAAAUCCCGGGGCCCAACCCGGAACUGCAUUCGAAACUGCCUCGCUAGAGUCCCGGAGAGGAAGGCGGAAUUCCCGGUGUAGAGGUGAAAUUCGUAGAUAUCGGGAGGAACACCAGCGGCGAAGGCGGCCUUCUGGACGGUGACUGACGCUGAGACGCGAAAGCGUGGGGAGCAAACAGGAUUAGAUACCCUGGUAGUCCACGCCGUAAACGUUGGGUGCUAGGUGUCGCGGGUAUU
rnacentral:rRNA from 1 species